AUUGAACGCUGGCGGCAGGCCUAACACAUGCAAGUCGAGCGGCAGCGACUUAACUGAACCUUCGGGGAACGUUAAGGGCGGCGAGCGGCGGACGGGUGAGUAAUGCCUGGGAAUAUGCCCUGAUGUGGGGGAUAACUAUUGGAAACGAUAGCUAAUACCGCAUAAUCUCUUCGGAGCAAAGAGGGGGACCUUCGGGCCUCUCGCGUCAGGAUUAGCCCAGGUGGGAUUAGCUUGUUGGUGAGGUAAUGGCUCACCAAGGCUACGAUCCCUAGCUGGUCUGAGAGGAUGAUCAGCCACACUGGAACUGAGACACGGUCCAGACUCCUACGGGAGGCAGCAGUGGGGAAUAUUGCACAAUGGGGGAAACCCUGAUGCAGCCAUGCCGCGUGUGUGAAGAAGGCCUUCGGGUUGUAAAGCACUUUCAGUAGGGAGGAAGGUAGUGUAGUUAACACCUGCACUAUUUGACGUUACCUACAGAAGAAGCACCGGCUAACUCCGUGCCAGCAGCCGCGGUAAUACGGAGGGUGCGAGCGUUAAUCGGAAUUACUGGGCGUAAAGCGCAUGCAGGCGGCCUGUUAAGUCAGAUGUGAAAGCCCGGGGCUUAACCUCGGAAUUGCAUUUGAAACUGGCAGGCUAGAGUCUUGUAGAGGGGGGUAGAAUUUCAGGUGUAGCGGUGAAAUGCGUAGAGAUCUGAAGGAAUACCAGUGGCGAAGGCGGCCCCCUGGACAAAGACUGACGCUCAGAUGCGAAAGCGUGGGGGAGCAAACAGG
rnacentral:rRNA from 1 species